CAAUAGCGUAUAUUAAAGUUGUUGCGGUUAAAAAGCUCGUAGUUGGAUUUCUGCUGAGAACGACCGGUCCGCCCUUUGGGUGUGUAUCUGGCUCUUUCUUGGCAUCUUCUUGGUGAACGUUGCUGCACUUGACUGUGUGGAGCGCUACCCAGGACUUUUACUUUGAGGAAAUUAGAGUGUUUCAAGCAGGCAUACGCCUUGAAUACAUUAGCAUGGAAUAAUAAGAUAGGACCUCGGUUCUAUUUUGUUGGUUUCUAGAGCUGAGGUAAUGAUUAAUAGGGAUAGUUGGGGGCAUUCGUAUUUAACCGUCAGAGGUGAAAUUCUUGGAUUUGUUAAAGACGGACUACUGCGAAAGCAUUUGCCAAGGAUGUUUUCAUUGA
rnacentral:rRNA from 1 species